GAUGAACGCUGGCGGCGUGCCUAAUACAUGCAAGUCGAGCGAACGGACGAGAAGCCUCCUACUCCGAUGUUAGCGUCGGUCGGGUGAGUAACACGUGGAUAACCUACCUCUAAGACUGGGUUAACUUCGGGAAACCGGAGCCAAUACCGGCCAAUAUUUUUAACAGCAUGGUUAUUCAUUGAAAGUCGUACUUGCUUUCAAUCUUCGAUGGAACCGCGUUGCCUCAGCUAGUUGGUAAGGUAACGUCUUACCAAGGCAACGGAGCAUAGCCGACCUGAGAGCGUGGACGGCCACACUGGAAGUGAGACACGGUCCUGACUCUUGCGGGGAGCAGCAGUAGGGAAUCUUCCGCGAGGGACGAAAGCCGGACGGAGCAACACCGCGGGAGUGAUGAAGGUCUUCGGAUCGUAAAACUCUGUUAUUAGGGAAGAAGAAAUGUGUAGGUAACUGUGCACAUCUUGACGGUACCAAAGCAGAAAGCCACGGCUAAAUACGUG
rnacentral:rRNA from 1 species